UACGUAGCAGCAAGCGUUGUUCGGAGUUACUGGGCGUAAAGGGUGCGUAGGCGGCUUUUUAAGUUUGGUGUGAAAUCUCCCGGCUCAACUGGGAGGGUGCGCCGAAUACUGAGAGGCUAGAGUGUGGGAGAGGAAAGUGGAAUUCCUGGUGUAGCGGUGAAAUGCGUAGAUAUCGGAAGGAACACCUGUGGCGAAAGCGGCGCACUGGACCACAACUGACGCUGAGGCGCGAAAGCUAGGGGAGCAAACAGG
rnacentral:rRNA from 1 species